rnacentral:rRNA from 1 species
CCAACCUUGAAAUACCACCCUUUAAUGUUUGAUGUUCUAACGUGGACCCGUAAUCCGGGUUGCGGACAGUGUCUGGUGGGUAGUUUGACUGGGGCGGUCUCCUCCCAAAGAGUAACGGAGGAGCACGAAGGUUGGCUAAUCCUGGUCGGACAUCAGGAGGUUAGUGCAAUGGCAUAAGCCAGCUUGACUGCGAGCGUGACGGCGCGAGCAGGUGCGAAAGCAGGUCAUAGUGAUCCGGUGGUUCUGAAUGGAAGGGCCAUCGCUCAACGGAUAAAAGGUACUCCGGGGAUAACAGGCUGAUACCGCCCAAGAGUUCAUAUCGACGGCGGUGUUUGGCACCUCGAUGUCGGCUCAUCACAUCCUGGGGCUGAAGUAGGUCCCAAGGGUAUGGCUGUUCGCCAUUUAAAGUGGUACGCGAGCUGGGUUUAGAACGUCGUGAGACAGUUCGGUCCCUAUCUGCCGUGGGCGCUGGAGAAUUGAGGGGGGCUGCUCCUAGUACGAGAGGACCGGAGUGGACGCAUCACUGGUGUU